UAGGACUCUUACUCUAGCUGCUAACCAGGC
rnacentral:piRNA from 1 species